rnacentral:lncRNA from 10 species
AAGGCGGGGCUUUGCAAAGAGAGUAGCCUCUGGUCCUUUUGUUACUCAGGAGUGGAUAGUUAGGGUUUUCCUUUCUAACUAAAUUGUUCUAGGAAGUCAGUGUGAAACGGCCUUAGGUUCUCUGCCUCCAGACCCUAAUCUCCUGCCUCAGUCUCAGGCUACAGGCUGGAGGCAGAAGUGGGAGGAUUGCUUGAGCUCAGGAGGUUGAGGCUGCAGUGAACCGACAUCAUGUCACCGCACUCUAGCCUGGAUAAUGUUUUUCAACAAAUAUUAACCGCCUGGGAGGAAAUACAGAAGUGAACAAUCAAAUGAAAUAAAAAUAAAACUGAUGUUAAUAACAAUAAAGCCUCAAAUAGCAACGAACCCAGAGAGACAUCAACCUGGGCUUCCCAAUCAUCCAGGAGUUGUCCCAGAAAGGAUAAUCCAACAGAUGCAGCAGGGUCUAUCAAUCAUCGCCGGGGAUAACUUCCUUCAGAGUCACAUUACCUGAUUAGAAUUCCACUUCCUGUUCUUCAGAAGUCUCGCCUUGGAUAGAUUUGACCUAAGG